CAGGAAAGGGUCAUGCUGCAUCACACAGUGCAAGCACAGGGGCAGAAAGAGAGGAGGACGGCGGGCGGCAGGGAGCAGUCAGUCCUGAGGAGCAGCCCUUCCUGGCUGCAGCGCGCUGCAGAUGUGUGCUUUGUCAGAGGCCGGUUGCAGCAGAUAAGAUUUUACCAUGGAGCCUGUGGCUGAAGAAGAGAUCCAGCAAGAAGAAGAAUGAAGGCUUGUGCUUCUGCCAGUUCACUCACUACUUAGCCCAGGCACAGGACCAUGAGACACAGCUCCUGAACUGCGAGCACUUGCUCUUGCUACAGGCACUAACUGAGGGAAGCCUAGGUGGCCGUAUCUCCCUGCUCUCCUCCCAGCUUUGCAAAUAAAUGCCAGCUCCUGUCAUUUGGAGAUGCAGCUGGGGAGCAGAGUUCACUCCAGUGUGUCUUCUGAGGAGCAGGAGGCAGCUGACGCCGGCCGGCCGGCUGCCAAGCAGGUCAGGCCUCUGCAGCUGAAACUGCCCGAGAUUCCUAAGCGGGAUGAUGAAUCAGCUGUGUCCUCUAGGACACAUCCUCUCUUGGACACGCUGCUGGGCUGUCGUGUCUCUUCCCCGUGAGAGUGUGCUCAGAGCUGCUGGCUGAUGACACUGGUAAUGUCCGUAGCCAGACAUAUGCUCAUGGCCUGGAAUGAAGUCGACUGCAAUUACAUCCUAAGGGAGUCACUCAACGGGGGUUUUGUGGAGUCAGGACGGAGGCUCUGGUGAAGCUGCACAUGUGCUGUUAGACCUCCAACUGCACUCGCUCUGCCUUCAGCUUUGUGGGAACGAGGAGCAGCAGGUUCAGAAAUACAGCCAGUCUGGUGCACAUCUGGAGGCAGUAAUUGGAGGUAAAGUGUGCACCUUCUGUUGUCAAUCGAAUGAGGUCUUUUCUUGCAUUAGCGAUUUCAGCGCAUCAGCACCAAAAUUCGUCCUUUUAAACACACUUGCUCCCCAUCUCCCGUGCUCUGUGCUGGUCUGAACCUUCUCCAAGCAUAAAGGUGUUGGGAGCUGGGUUGCAGGCUCAGGCCUCUUUCCUGUAAGGCUCCUUGUGCCUUACUUUCUUUAUCUCCAAGAGCAGCCAGAAGCACAUGCUGUGGCAACAUAAUCAUUUAAUCCAGGCUGGUGAAACCUGUUCUCCAGAUGAACAACUGACAGAUCGUUUGCUCUGUAGCUCUGCAUAUGAAUGCAAUGUUUGUUGGCGUGGAUGGAUGCCGGUGCCAGUUUUCCACUCCAGUUUCCAGCAAAACCGAGCAGCAGUCUGACCAGGAAUCUGCUCCCAGCUCCUUCCUCUGCUCCCUGCAACAUCCUUGUUGCAGCCACAUUAGUGCUGGGGCUCUCUGUCCCUGGCUGCGGGCUGCUGAUGUGGAUGCAGUAGGUGCACAGAUUCCUGGCAGGCGGAUGCAGCCCUUGGAGGAGCACAGCAGGCCUGUGGCGCCUGGGAUAGGAACAUGUUUGCCUGGGGAAGGAGGUGAUACCUGAAAGGGUGCAGCCAAAACUAACAAAGGUGUGUUCAGAGAUAGAUACAGUUUGAUCUUUAGCCCCUGAUACAAACCUUGCCUUGGCUGGGGAAGCUGCUCUGCCAAGCCCUCUUGUAAGGGUGUAACAGCCUGCUGGAUUGCUGGUGAUUCCAGCAGUGGGUUGGAGUGAGGACGUGUGCUGCUGCCUCCCAUGCAACUGCUGUGAGUUAGGAGGGGCAAGGAAGAGGUGCACCCUUGUUUUAGGCCUCUGAAGUCCUCAGGUCUGAAUGUCAGAUGUGAGAAGAUGGUGCUCUCAUAGUCUCAUGUGCUGUCAUAGAAUUACAGAAUUGUUUGGGUUGGAAGAGACCUUAAAGAUCAUCAAGUUCCAAGCCCACUGCCACAGGCAGGGACAACCAGACCAGGUUACUCAAAGCCCUGUCCAACCCAGCCUUGAACACUUCCAGGAAUGGAGCAUCUACGACUUGUCUGAACAACCAGUUCCAGUGUCUCACCACACUCACAGUAAAAAUUUCUUCCUAGUAUCUAAUCUAAAUCUACUUUCAGUUUAAAGGUGUUACCUCUUGUCCCAUCACUACAUGCCCUUCUCAAAAGACCAGAGCCAGUGGUUCAUUGCACAUUGUGCAAAGACAUGUGCUUAUGCAGGUUUCCUUAGUGGCCAGAAAAUCUGUCAUCUCCUGUGUGCUGGAGAUACUUCUGGUGAGCAGCCCGUCCUGCUCUGCUGCUGUCCUUGUUUGCUGCUUCUCUGGUUUCAGGGUCCAUCCCUUCCAGAUUUUGUAAUGCAAGCAGCAGCUGACACUCUCAUGGCCCAGCUGACAGCUUGGUGGUGGCACGAAACCAGGGAGAGGGUUGUGGUGUGCACUGGUGGCAGCCACUGCUCGACAAACAGCAUUAGAAACUUACCAGGUGAAUAUGCAGUGGUUUUGCUGACAUUCUCUAUUUUUGGCUUAAGGAGCAAGCUGAGGGCUGAAGCUUUACCAGGGCCAGCUUAUGCCUCUUUAAUUGUCUGAUCGCUUGCACUGCCUCUGAGGACGGAGGGCUGAAAGAAGCUGCAAUCCAGACUCCUUUAAAACGCCUUUUUUGAGAAGAGCAUGCAUUUGGAGCCAGCACUGUGAGGUUGGCUCAACCUCCAGAAACACUUUCCAAAACUUGUUGUCCAGAAUAGUGUGCUCUAAAAAUGCACUGCAUCUCCCUGCACUAGCUGGUAUGACCUGCUGUGACCGUACAACAAGGUUUUUCUUUCAGCUCAGAUGAGAUUCAUAUUAAGAUCUGUAUUAGUUGCACAGCGAAACAGCUUCUUUUUCUUCCUUGUUCCCUGUUACGCACUUCCAGUGCCUGUCUCUGUUAGAUGAGGGCCUGUGGGGAGUUCAGGGAGAGCUGGCCUGGGCCGUGUAUCACCCUGUCACCAGGACCAAGCUGGGAGAGGUCAGUGCAUAUGCACAGCUCGGAGCAGUGUGUGCUGUGCUGGGAUGGGUGGUUUGAAAUUGUCACUGGUAUUUUAUCUUCAGUUUAGCAUGGCUCAGGUUUGUCAGCAAAACACCAUGGUCCUGAAAUUUCAAGCCUGAGGCAGAGCUGGGAAGAACAUCCUAGAGCUCCUGGGUUUCUGUCUAGGGCUUUGGACACAGCUUCAGUCAAAGAUUCCCCCUUCCUGAAAGGAGAGAGAUGUCAAAGUGUAAUGUUUACAUCAGUUAUGUGAAGUCCACUCAGACCUAUUCAACCCCCUGCCUCUGCAUAACUUUUUUUGGCAAGCAUUAACUAAUAGGGAAGGGAGUAAAUCUUGCUUGAAGUUAUUUUUCUUUCUGCUCCCGUGUCCCACCCCAGGUGCCCCAUGGCAGGUGCUACAGAGGCGAAAACCAGUGCUCCUGUAGAGACAGAUGAGCAGCACACAAAAUGAUCUCUCUCCUCCUUGUGCACCCCAGAGCCCAGAAACUCCCCCAUCUCUCCAGCCUUGCAGCCCAGCUGUCCCAAACCCCAGACAGCCCAGGGGUGGAUAACAGCAGGCUGCUCUCUGCACGGCAGCCCAGGCGAUGAAGGAGAUAAUGAGAAUGAUUUCUUGGUACAAGUGCAAGCAUGAAUCCUCUGAAGAAAUACUAAGUCUAGUUGCAGUGGAAGGAAAAAGAAAAGUAAAGCAAAUGCACACAUGUGCAUACACACAACCUCGACCUCAUGUAGCGUUGGAGGGUUUGGUUGUGUCUGCUUUUUUCUCAGCUGCUGGUCCUUGAACUCCUCCCAGCGUGGUUCCACCACUGGAGCAACAGCUGGCAUGCUGAGGUGCACUGCAGGGCUGCCAGCUCUCCUCACUGCAGAUCAAGCCUUGCACUCUGUUACUGGGGGAUUUCCUUGAAGCCCUUCUGCCUCUCUGCCAGAGUGCUCGGAUUGUGUGAGAGCUGUGCCUUCUGAUGGAAGAAAAAGCAGGGGGGGCUAAUUAACAAAAAAUGUUUCCAGCACUCAGGAUUGUGGAGGAAAAUUAACAAAGAGGAAAUGAGUGUGACCUACAGUGAGUAAAAUAAUAAUCUUUUUGUCCCGAGCAGGGCUGUAUGAGCUGUUUGGAUGACACGUGGAGGAGCAGGGGUGUGGAAGAAAAUGAAGCCCUGCUCAGCGCUGCAGGCCUUUUGCCACUGCAACUGAAAGAGUAAAAACUUAUUUUGCUACUCUGGAUGCUAACUCAUGACAGGCAAUUGCUUUAGCUAUGGUGAAUGAAGCCCAAGGAAGGGUCCAUCACAGAUUAAUUCCUAAGCCUUAGGGUGUUUUGCUUAGUGAGGUGCCAGAUCAGUCUGUGGAAAUCUUGUUCUUGAAUUAUUAUUCCUUUUAAAUAUUAGACCCUACCUGCAAAGAUGAAGUGUUUCCUGGCCUCACUUUUCAGUAUUGCUGUUCUUUCCAUCCUCUAUUGCUUCCACAGAGGGUAGAAAGACAAGAGUUUUCAAUACCUGCAAAUUUCCAUCUGGUUUGUUAGCAGCACUUCUCAUGAAGGGGAUUAUGAAAAGUUGGAGACGCUACAGGUAAGCAUCCAAACAGUUAUUCUGGCUUCCACAAUGAGGCAGUGUGUUUUGUGUGGCUAGAGCAGCAGGAACAGGACUCAUGAGUGACAGAGCAAAAAAGUCAGUGAUGGCUAUUUGGCAGGAGAGACUUAAACUGUCAGGCUAGGCAUGUAUCUCCAUUGUGGUCUCUGACUCACAAUUCAAGUAUGCUGGGAACAUUUGAGGGGGCUGGGUCAGUUCUUUAAGCAGUGGGAAAACAAGGCUUUAAUGCAUCACGGCAUGACUUUGGGUCUGUGCUCCACUGUUCUGCUUUUCUUUGAGGGAACUGGUGUGGCUGGUGGUGGGGAGAGGGAGGUGUUGUGAAACCACACACACACACACACUCACAUGUGAUUUUAAUCCCUCCUAACAGUGUUUCAGACUCAUUUGACUGUGGUGGCUGAGCUGAACCACUUCUGACUUGCCCUCCUGAGGGUGAACGGAGGACAGGGCUGUGCGGGGGGCUGGUGACAAUUCGGUUUCAACCUCUGCUGCAGCAGCCCGGCUGAGGUGUGCAACGCAGAGGAGCUCGGGGAGGGCUCACCAGCCCCUUCCAGCUAUUCAGUACCACUCCGUGGGCACAAGAGAGUCACAAACUGGCCGGUGAAACCAGGCUUGCAGCUCUAGUGUGUGGUCAUCACGGUGGCAAAAAGCAGCCGGGCUGUCCUGGUGAAUCCGGCUGUGAGGGUAGGAAGGCGUGCCAGCAGCCGCGCUCUCCUGCUCCCUCCCACUGCUGCAGAUAACGCCGUGCAGCCUCCCGGGGUGGGAGGUGUGCCUAUGCCCUUACCAAAGGUGUUUUCUGUUGAUACGGUGUGUUCCUGCACAUGGAGGGGAAGGCAGAUAGGGCCAGACAUCCUCUCCCGGAUCAUGUUGCGUGGCUGAGAGCGGCUGCUGGCCGUGGGGUUGCUCCUCUGUGCUCCUCCGGCUGGAGGCAAGCACCCAUUUGGGGAUGCUUCCCGGAAAAUACAAUUGUACAGUGAGCAGAUGCUUUCUGUCCAUUGCGCUUCCUGCUCCUGGGAGGGGCUGGAAGGAGAAUCAGGAAAUGUUGUUGGAAAAGUAUAGCCAAAAAUGGUCAAGACCAGGUAAGGAGCAGCUAUAUGGCACAUGAGCCGCUGGCUCCAUAAUUAAGCCAAGUGCUUGGGAUGCAAGAGGCUUGGCUGUGCUCAGUUGAGAGCUGGCUUCCUGUGUGUUCCUCCCUGCUAUGAUUCUGACCAGAAAUUCCAUUUUUGACUUGAAAAAUCUUCCAGAUGAAAAUUUAAUUAUAGAAGUGAUGUAUUCCCACAAGAAACUUCAGUGUCAGCAAAUAAGCAUUUUCUUCUGAAAAACUAUUUUAUUCACACACACAAAAACCUGGUUCCCACUGGUUCCAGGCUAAGGCAUUACCCUGGUAAAAACUCAGUUGAUUUGUUUAAUAAAAAUGAUUACAGUUUGCAAUUAGCAUCCAUUAGGCAUACAAGUUGCAAAGAAUUGACACCGGUCCUGAAGUCCUCUUGCAUGGGAUGAAUUUUCUUGGCAUGUUAUUAAAUCAUGACCUAUGCCAUAUCUGUGAUUUAUAAAAGGUUUCUGGCAAUGGAGCAGUGGGAUGAAUCAAUCAUGGGAGUGUUAAACCAGAUAACAAGAUUUUCUUUCCUUCGGUGCAACAAAUUACUUGCUUUCUGCAGAGCAAAGGUGCAAGCAUUUUCCUCCAGACGAUGUGACUUGUAACACGGACUUUGUAAAUAUUUUCCUUAUGUAAAGGUCUUUGCUCCUGGUUGUUAUUGGUUCCAUAUUCACUUGGGAUCUUUGCAUGCAGAGGAUGGCUUUUGGCUUUUGAAGAGGAACUUCUCGGAGGCUGGACUGUUUCCCCUCACACUCCUGAGUCUCUCCAAGGUGGCGUGUAAUGCUCAGAAAGGCUGCUAGGGGAAAGGUGCUUUUCUGUGUCUAACAGAGAAUUCUGCAAGCUCAUUAAUAAAGGCCAGAUAAAAUAAAGCUUGGAAAGUCAACAUGUUCAAGAAGAUAUGCUGUUCUGGGAAACAAGUGGAGAGGAGAUUUAAUCACAGUACCACCGACAGCACUUGCACAGACUGAGUCUCAGCAUGAUAAGUUCAAGGAACCCCAAGUCUGCACCCACAGACAUUUUCUGGUUUACAUCCAGGCCAGAAAGGACAGUGUCUGUUACUUCUUCCUGCCAUGGGAGACAUUGUGAAGGUCUACAAGCAGCCUCUGCAGAGCCAGAGCCGGCAGCGAGUACACGUGGGACAUCGGCCCUGCGCGCUCGGCUUGGGGCUGCCAGCACAGGGGUGUUUCUGAAACAUGGGGCACCACACGGCACUCUCCACAGCUGCCCUGCUCUCAGACACACACAGGCAUCUGCGGGAGAGGGGAGGCACCCCUCCGGCUCAGGCAGCAGUCGCAUGGCAGCGUGCCUUUGACCAAGAGGAAAGGAAUGCAGCAUCUCCCCGUGACUGAGAAAGCUUGGGUGGUUUUGCACAUAGGAAGCUCCUUUAAAUGUGUUUCCUCUCACUGCCUGGCCUUUUGUUUUUCAGCCAUGCUUGAUGCUGGUGUUGGAAAGCUGAACUCCCCAAAAGUGAACUUCCUCUCCGACUAUAAACUGACCCUUGGGGUUGCUAUAGCGACUGCAGAGCGGCCAGCGGGCUGUGUAAACACUCCCUCCCGCUUCCCAUCACACUGGGCCUGAAAGGCGCAGCCACGGGAUGUGCACAGCAACCUGGAUUAUGCAGGCGGUUUUGAAAUGCAAACCCGACAAUUUCUCUGCUUCCUCCCUGCUUCCCCCGCGGGGAGGCAAACCCAGCAGGCUGGUAGCAGGCAUAAACACGCCCGUCCUGACGAAUUUGGGCACAUGGUGUGGUACCGCAGAAACCAAAUCCAGACACUUACCUGGGGAACUUGAGCAAGAUGUGGAAAUACAUGGUGCAACUGGAUCCUGUGCAACAUCUGAUUCCCUUGGCCUCACUAACUGUGGAGUUUCCAGCUGUGUGGGGGGAGCAGUUUGGUACACACUGUCGCAGCUCCUUCUAUGUAAUUAAUUGCAACAAUCGACCGAGUGUGAAAUCCAUCAAUUUCUGUGUCCUCUGUUGCUCACUUUGAUGUCAGCUCUCCAUCUUCUAUUUUCUUCCUUUGUUUUUUUUUAAUUUUUAUUUACUUCAUUAAAGUCCCUGACUCUCUGAGUCACUCUCCAAAUGUUGAUGUUCAUGUCUGUAUCCAUCCCUGAAGAACCAGGUCAGGUAUUUCAGCAGCAGUAGCGUGAGUGACACACUGAAGCAAAUGGGAAGGUGUUUCCCAAGCCUAGUGGGAUAUGCAUCCCCUCCAGCCACUGCAAAUGUUCCUCCAAAAUGGCAGGUACUGCCUAGACAGGGAUUUUGUGAGAGGCAAGCUAAACUACCCUACCAAGAGGAGAUUAUCAGCUCUGCUCCCAUGGCAUUUUGAUGCAUCUUGCUUGGUUGUCUUCAAAAAUAAAGUUGCUGUCCCACCACAACAGACCUGUGACUGCUUGAAAAAGCACAAAGCACAUAAUCUCAGAGGUAAAAUGAAGCCACUGCUCCAAUGCUGUCUGGAGGGGCCAUUCAGAAGUGCCA